UACGUAGGGUGCAAGCGUUGUCCGGAAUUAUUGGGCGUAAAGAGCUCGUAGGCGGUCUGUCGCGUCUGCUGUGAAAACCUAGGGCUUAACCCUGGGCGUGCAGUGGGUACGGGCAGACUAGAGUGCGGUAGGGGAGACUGGAAUUCCUGGUGUAGCGGUGAAAUGCGCAGAUAUCAGGAGGAACACCGGUGGCGAAGGCGGGUCUCUGGGCCGUAACUGACGCUGAGGAGCGAAAGCAUGGGGAGCGAACAGG
rnacentral:rRNA from 1 species